rnacentral:snRNA from 1 species
UAACAAGGAUUCCCUUAGUAACG